CAACUUCUAGCUACCUUUCUAGUGUGUGUAUGCCUGCAUUUGACUUUAUCAGCAUUGACUUUUGCAGCUCUUUCUUCUGAAGACUUGAUCAGCCUGAACCUUCAGCAAAGAUUUCAAUGCAAACUGAAGAAUUUACUACAUCUGUGAAGUCUAAAAGUCUUACCUCCACACUGCUUUUCUGGCUGAAUGGUUCUAAGAUCAUGGAAAAAAGCAAAAGAACAAAGCUCCCCAAAAGGGAACUGAGGAAAUAUGUAAAGGCAGGAUGUAUGAAAAAAAUACUAGCACAAGGAUUAAUGGCAGAAAACCUCCAGGACUGCAGUCUGAUACUUAACGAAUAUGUAUUUCCAUGCAUACAGAGAGGAUGUUAACAGACUUUUCAACAAUCAUCAUCACUCCUCAGGAGACUGAAAAACAUUUGUGCAAUUUUUUAGUGUAGAGUGGAAUGAAAGAAGAUCUGGAGUGGGGAACACUUAGUAUGACAAACUGAACCAGAAAAAUCAAAAUGAGUCAUCUUCAGUGCAAGUUGCAGGAAGUAUAUUAAUUUGUAUUACACUGUCCACUGUACAUUAUUUGAAUUCUAAAUUUCCACAGCUGAUCUUUAUGUAUUGAAAAAAUUCUGUACACAUGCAUCCUGAACACAGAAAAACGUAUCUUAAAGUGGAUAAACAACUCAAUUAAAUUAGUAACAAUAAUUUUUCCCUUCACAAUUCCUCUUUGGGUUUUUAAUUCUGUGCUUUACCCUACCCUCUUCUCACUUGGUGGAAAUCUUUGCAUGAGGUUGUUUUCAGCACUCCUGGUAAUUUUACCUACGCAUUUACCAUUAUGUAUACAUUAUAUCUACGUUCUGACAACUAAAAUUUAUUUUA